ensembl:lncRNA
CCGGCGACUGCGCUCUACUACAUCAAUCAAUUCUACACCUUUUACUGAUUUAACCACAAAGACAUUGAGUCGAGUAGACUUGAUAUCUGCAGGGACGGAUGAUGAGAGUCAGAUAGGUUUCGCAUAUUUGGCUGAACUCCUGUGAUGUCACUUUCUCUUGGCUGUCUGACCAAUCCCUGAGUUGAACUUUUUCUCUCACACAAACAUGUCUGUCUCUGUGAUUGACAUUUUCCUUUUCUUAUUGUUUACAAAGGGACAUCAGCUGAUUCCUGAAGCGCUGAGAGGAUGAACUGAGGAGAAUGCAAAGGGACAUCAGCUGAUUCCUGAAGCGCUGAGAGGAUGAACUGAGGAGAAUGCAAAGAUCAAUUCGCAGGAGGAGGAGUCAAAUGAAGACCUAGUUGAAAUUCUUCCACACAUUGUUAUUGUUAUGCAUAGUUCAACCACCAUGAUUUUUAUGAUAUUCAACUUUGAGAAUAAAAAAAAGUUUCUUUA